AAUCGACAUCAAACCUAAAUGAGUCUUACCCAUUCCAAAAUCUUGAAAGACCUCAAACACCUCAAUAAUCGAACACGAAAAAGGUAAAGGCAUGUAUACCCAUAUAAGGAUCUUAUACCAGAUUAGGGAGGACAUUUUACUCAAAAACAAACAAAUGGUCCACAGACUGAACUUGAUCUAAACACAUUACACAUCGAACGAUUCUAACAUCAGAAACGGUCUAACGCUUAGCAAGAUUU
rnacentral:lncRNA from 1 species